GACGAACGCUGGCGGCGUGCUUAAUACAUGCAAGUCGAGCGAGGUCCAUCUGGUGGGCAACACCAGUGAAGGCCGAGCGGCGAACGGGUGAGUAACACGUGAGCAACCUGCCCCGAAGUACUGGAAUAAACAUCGGGGAAACCGGUGCUAAUACCGGAUCGCCCCCACCCUGACCGCAUGAUCGGGUGAGGAAAGAUUUAUCGCUUCGGGACGGGGCUCGCGGCCUAUCAGCAGUUGGUGGGGUAACGGCCUACCAAGGACGUCGACGGGUAGUUGGUCUGAGAGGACGACCAGCC
rnacentral:rRNA from 1 species